rnacentral:rRNA from 1 species
CGGGAAUUUUGGGCAAUGGGCGAAAGCCUGACCCAGCAACGCCGCGUGAGGGAUGAAGUAUUUCGGUAUGUAAACCUCGAAAGAAUGGGAAGAAUAAAUGACGGUACCAUUUAUAAGCUCCGGCUAACUACGCGCCAGCAGCCGCGGUAAUACGGAGGGUGCAAGCGUUAUCCGGAUUCACUGGGUUUAAAGGGUGCGUAGGUGGGUAUGUAAGUCAGUGGUGAAAUCCCCGAGCUUAACUUGGGAACUGCCAUUGAUACUAUAUAUCUUGAAUACCGUAGAGGUAAGCGGAAUAUGUCAUGUAGCGGUGAAAUGCUUAGAUAUGACAUGGAACACCAAUUGCGAAGGCAGCUUACUAUGCGGUGAUUGACACUGAGGCACGGAAGCGUGGGUAGCAAACAG